GGAAGAUGGCGGCCCCUCUUUCUCGACGCCGGGUUGGGGGACAGCGUGGCCGGAUAAUCCCAGGGACGGCCAGAACAAACCCGGCCGUGUAAUUAAGACAACACGUUUAACGACAACACGGACACCCAAGGGCAGGAGAAGCUCUAGAUCACCAAUGAAAAUCAUCAAAAUCAGGAGUCUGUGGGCCACUUUUGCAUUCAUCAGACCGUGUUCAGUACCCUGUGCUCUGUUGCAUCAGCUCCCUGAUGUAUAACUUGGGAUAAGGUGAUUUCUUUUCUGAGAAAUUACAGAAUUACAGUUUGGUUCCAGAAUCAAUGAAGUUUCAGGCAACAAGAAUUCCAUGGAAGACAAUCGAAUUAUGUUUAGGAAUGAAGAGACAUUAGUUUCCAUGGGCACAGAGUGAAGAGGCAUGAGGAAUGUUCUCAGAUUCAAGAAUUUUUAGAAAGAGGAAAAAAAAAAACUGACCUAUAUUGUUAUAAAACACAAAGCACCUUUAUUAGUCUCAUAAAUUUGCUGUCAAGAAGAGACUCCUGAAAGUCAGUUCAGCAAAAGUACUCCGUUGCCCCACUGGAAUCUGGAAACUAGGAAGUGGUCUCUCUUCAAAAAGACAACUCAGAAUACUAUGAAACCCUGAGAAAUUACAUGCAAUUCCAUCUGGCUAGGGCCUGAGCAAGACAGAGGAAGAAAGAAAGACUGUCAAAAAAGGGAACUGAAACUGAUGUUCUCCUGGCUUUAAUAUGGAAAAACAAACACAGAAGUUCAAAGUUUUCCCAUUGCAAUGAAGCAUGGCUCAAAACAAAGUAGAAUUUAACAAAAGUGCAUAACUCUAUUUCAUCUCCCAGAGUCAGGCAUCUAAUCAAGAGUGAAGCAUAUGUGAUCAUGUACUUCAUGAACGUCUGUUAAAUAAAAUAUGAUGACCUUUAAAGUGGAGAAUACAUUUAGAAACAAAAAUAAAUCUUCUACGUCAAGUCUUCUAUCCUUUUAUGGUGGAGUCCUCACCUGUUCAAACUUACUCCUGAUCACCUGCCUUGAGUGUGAAUAUCUGGCAGUGAUGAACUAGCUGCCUUGGAUGCCUUUCAGGGGCCAUCUUUUGCUGCAUGAGUUGCUUGUCUGCAGCUGAUGAUCUGGAAUCCAUGGAAAGUGGUAGGAAAUGUUAGCUACUCUGCAGGACAACUGCGUGGUGUUGGGAGACACGGCAGGGCUUAGGCAGUGCAGAAAGGAACUCCCUUCAGAGAUCGUAGUUCUGCUUUUGAACUCUGCUUGAGCAAGGUCCUGUUCUGCAAGUGCUCCUGAUGCUUGUACUGGACUAGUUUGACAUUUCAGACCUACAAAGGACCUGCAUCCUACUGGGGGAAGUGCUUAUAGUGGCUCUGAAUAGUAGGGAAAGAGUCUACAGAAUCUUUACAGCUUGGACCAACCUGUACCUCAGGAGGCUCUUCAGGCAGGAAAGAUUCUGUGGAGAAGGUUAUUCUUUCAAGUUAUACCAAGAAGACAUAGUUUUUAUAGCACAGCACUAUGACUAUAUGAAUAGAACAGAAUGGACUAUUUCAGUUGAAAGGGACCUGCAAUGAUCAUAUAGUCCAACUGCCUGACCAUUUCAGGGCUGAAAGUAUGUUACUAAGGACAUUGUCCAAAUGCCUCUUAAACACUGACAGGAUUGGGGCACUGACCACCUCUCUAGGAAGCCUGUUCUAGUGUUUGAGCAUCCUCUUGGUAAAGAAAUGCUGCCUGAUGUCCAGUCUGAAGCUUCCCUGAUGCAGCUUUGAACCAUUCCCAUGUAUCCUAUCACUGGGUACCAGGGAGAGAAGAGGUCAGCAUCUCCCUCUCCAUGUCCCCUCUUUAGGAAGCUGUAGAGAGCAAUGAGGUCGCCUCUCAGCCUCCUUUUCUCCAAACUAGACAAACCCGGAGGCCUUAGAUGCUCCUCACAAGACCUUCUUUCCAGCCCUUUUUACCUGCUUUGUUGACCUCUUCUGGACACAUUCAAGGACCUCCACAUCCUGCUUAAAUUGUGGGAACCAGAACUGCACACAGUACUCAAGGUGAGGCCACACCAACACUGGACAGAACAGGAUAAUCCCCCCUUUUGAACAGCUGAUGGUGGUGUGUUUGAUGCACCCCAGGACACAAUUUGCCCUCUUGGCUGCCAGGGCACAGAGCUGACUCACGUUGAGCUGCUGUCAACAGCAGGCUCAAAGGAUAUGGAUAAUGACAGAAGAAAGAGUUUAUAGUGAAAACCUCUGAAUUUUUCUUUGAGAUCACUAAGAUGUGCCCAGACUAUUAGGGAGGAAAUCUUACAUAGUUUUCACAAAUUUGUAAAAAAUACUAGGACAGUUGUAGGUGAAAACUUUUGUAGGCUGAGACCAGUGGAAGAAGAACACUGUCUCACAGCAGAGCUCUUCCUUUUGUAGUCAAUGAGAAAAUACUGCCUUAUCUAGUUAAGUUAUCUUAGGAAAACAACAUCAUACCAACAUCUGCUGGUUGUGCACAGUCAAAUUGCCUGCUGACCUUUGUCAGUGGAAAACCCCAAUCCUCAUUUCUGAAUCUAAUUGCUACAAAGCUUUUUUUGACUGUCUUUUGAGGUUACUUGUACUUUUAAUAAAUUUCCAUCAUUAUUUGUUUUUUCUUAAUGUUGUCUUCUAGCACUGGCAUGCUGAAAUGUGGAAUAAGUUAGUAUGGGGUGUCUUAAUGGCCUAUAAACUUCAUCCCAAAAGUUAACUGCUGGAGAAAGGGGAACUCAGAGUGAAGGCUGGGAGUGGACAAAAAUAAGGAUUAGAUUGUCCUUACAGAUUAGUGCUGUCUGCACUGUUGUGGAUAUGGCCUACUCUCUGGACUUCUAAGGCAUCCCAGCAACGAGGUGUUUUACCAAACAUCACAGUGUCAGAAUGGUGAUGACACCCAGCUUAUUAUAUUGUGAUACCAUGAGAUUGUGGAGCCAACAGUGUGCCCUGGCAGCCAAGAGGGCCAACCAUGUCCUGGGGUGCAUCAAACACAGCAUUGCCAGCCAGGCAAGGGAGGUGAUUGUCCUGCUCUGCUCUGCGCUGGUGUGGCCUCACCUGGAGCACUGGGUGUGGUUCUGGGGACCCAUCCUGGUUUAACCCGAGCUAGGAAUGCAACCACAAUGGCCGCUCGCUCACCCCGCUCCCCACCCUCAGGAACUUUGUUCACACUGAGCAGCCAGUCCCAGGAAGCAGGGACUGCUCCUGAACAGCUGAUCCCGAAGAGAAAAAAAGGCAGAAAGGCCCAGAGGCCCCUGCAAAACAGCAAAAGGCUGAACUAAAUGUCCCGAACAGAACUCCCCUGGCUCCGACAAAAACAGUGAAGAAGACAAAGAAGUGAGAGAAAGACUGGAAGUUCCUAACUCUCCUUAAAUAUGAAGUAUAACACUAAUGGGAUGCAAUGCUCAUUGAUAAGUCUGGAUGUCAGUCAAGCUCUGCCCCAUCCAUGCCUCCUUCCUCGAUGCCUCACACCUGUGGGCAGAGCUCAGAAUAUCCUUGACUCUCAGACCAGAACAAUUAAAAACGUUAACUCUGUCCUGGGGUGUUAUCUCUUGUUCUCAAACUAAGUGCAAAUAAUGAGCGUGCGAGCUAUGAACUAGCUAAUGUGCUAGCUAACUGCAUGAAGAAAAUUAACUCAUUUUCAGUCAAAUCAGCAUGGCGCCACAGUAUAAAAAAAGAUAUAAAGCUACUGGAGAGUGUCCAGAAGAGGGCUACAAAGUUGGUGAAGGGUUUGGAGAGGUAGCCAUAUGAGGAGCGGCUAAAGUCACUUGAUUUGUUCAGCCUGGAGAAGAGGAGACUGAGGGAAGACCUCAUCGAGGUGUGCAGCUUCCUCACAAGGGGAGCAGGAGGGGCAGGCACUGAUCUCUCUGGCAAUCAAGGACAGAACCCCAGGGGGGUAUGGUAGGAAGAUGUACCAGGGGAGGUUUAGAUUGGACAUUAGGACUUCAAAACCAACCAUGUCUUCUGCACCAGUUCUAUGAGUCUAACCUCCCUUUUUUGGUAUUCAGCUUCUGAAAGUGAAACUUUCCAAUUCUGUUUUUAAAACAAAAUUAAUCUAAGAAGAAAUUUUUAAUUUCCUUUGAGAAAAAUGAAACAAUAAGUACUUUGAUCAAUGCAUUCCCUGUUCUCAAGCAGUUCAGUUUAACUACUGAUAUGCUUACCCGUCUCUUUAUGUCUGAUACCCAUGAAGGGGUGAGGCUGAUAUACAGAGAUUUGUUCUUCAUCCUUUCCCUCCUGGCAUCAUGUUUAGGAGCCUGGUUUUGAAUGUGGAUCCCUCCCAAACUGUCAGGCUUAUCCUCAAUAUGUUAACUAAUGCUAUGGCUGGCACCUCACUUUGCUAAAUCUAGCUGCUUCAGUCACAGUGGCCCUGCACUCUGUAGAUUUGAAUUUGGCAUGCUGUGGGUUUUAAGCACACCGUUAUAUAUCCUAUGCUGUCAUCUAAAUAAUUAUGCAGUCUGCUCUCAUUGCACUUAAUCAUUGCACAGUCUUGACUUCGCUUGCAUCUCACCUAUUUAUGCACAACCUAUAACUAAGUCAUUACCCUCCAACACCAGUAACUAUCCAUUUAAAUGCAGUCCUAAGUAUGGAAUUGCUGCCAGGCACUUUUGGAAUUCAUGGGAGGGUCUGGCAGUGUUCCUGCAGUUGCAGGACAAUGGGUGCGGGGACUAUACUUGCAUAAUGCUAUUCAACGUUAAGUUAGACUUGAUAUGAUAAUGGAGUUUCUUAGAGUACAAUUAUAAUGUUUUUAAGUACAUAGUAAAAUUAUGUGGGAAAUGGUGAACAGCUGAAAAAGCAAAGGAUAAGGAUUUAAAUAAUCUCUGAGGCUGUUUCAAGAACAGCAGCAGCACUUAGGCACUAGAAAGAUGCGCAUGUCAGAAAGGAAUAGAUUAGGUACGACCUGGAGGCUUAUGGACUUCAGAGAGAAAACAGAAUGAACUAAAACUAGAUCAAUACGGCAUGAUGUAUAUUAAUUUUCCAGUCUCCCCUAUUACUUAUUAAACACAGUUUAAGGAAACAAAAUAAUUUAAUUAAACGGGGAGAAUUGGUAUAGCUAACUAACUUUAACUCUUUGAAUAUAGCAUUUAUAAUGGUAAUAAGAAAUCCACUACAGGCAAAACUUUCUAGCUUUGAACUUUAUCAAUUCAAUCAUUAUUUUGUCACUAAAGAGAAGGCCACAAAAAUCAAAUGUUUAUUUAUGAGGCAUUUAUUGUGGAUAGAGAGUUAAAUCAUAGGCAUGUACCAUAAAUAAAAACAUUUGUGAUUAAUGGAAAUAACAGGAAAAAAAAACAAAGAGGAAAAUACAGAUUUGUCUGAAGCACUGAAUCAUAUACACUGUCAGUGUUUGGUAAGUAGCAGACAAUCUGAAUAAGGCUUACAAGGUCUUCAAUAUGUACAAAAACCCAAGAGUGUUACAACAAAGACCUUCUUUCAUUGGUGUUAUCAGCAGCUGAUCCCUACCAUGCUUUGUGGGAUCAGUGGCAGACAGUGACGAACUUCAGUAGAAAUGUACAGGCUCGUGGAUGUCACAGAGUUCAGCCCUUUUAUAUCAGCUGUAUUUGUGUUUGAGUAAAGUUGCACUAACUCUCUUAAGGUAUCUGCCAGUCUUUCUUUUGGUGUCACUAUCUAGUGACUAAAAGGUAAUGAAAAGUGGUAAUGAGUACACAGUUCUCAGUGGCUACAAGAAUGUAUUGUCAGUACCCAGAGGAAAAAGAGAAAACAAUCCAUUGUUAAAGACUAGAUAGGGAGAAAAAGGGACACAACCAUGAAAUGCCUUAAAAAGAGAUUGCUACCUCAAAAAAAUGGUUUAAAUAGUCCAUCAAGAAAAUACUGACACUUAUAAUCCGAGAGGAUGUAAUACCCUGUGCCGUAAGUAAUGAACUUUUCAUGCCUUGGCACAAAAAGCUAUGAGCAUAUUAUCAAUGAAAAGAAAUAAAUCAUGUGCCAGCAUGUUGCUUGGUGUGUGGUAGCUAGUAAGUUUAUCUGGUUAAAAAUAAUAAUUUAAAAAAUCCUCCAUUUAUGUUAACAUUUACAAUAUCAUAUUAAGGAAAUUAAAAAUAUAUACUAACAACUGACUUGCAUUAAGAAUUCAGAUGCGGUAGAGCUUGUAUGCAGUGCAGUUACUUAUUGUGGUGCAUGUAAGGAGCCUGAGGCAGCCCCUUAAUUCCUCUGCAUUAGCAUCCCAAGUAGCGGUACCUGAAGAAAAUCUGGCUCCACUCAACUAGACUGUCCUUAUGGGUUGGAGUAAGCUGAGCAUGAGAAUUUGCCCCAUACCUGCCAUGUGCAUGAAUAGCGAGCAUGUAGUGGAAAGCAUCUUCACCAGACUGCCAGCUGAUGCAAUCCAUGCCCCCCCACCCGGGACCAACAUGGGGACUGCCCAGGAGAUACAGGCUCUCUGAGCUCAGCUUAUUAAUUGACUGUUAGCUUUUCCUAGCCUAAAUUAAAAGUACCUGGACAGUAUUUUUCUUAUAACGUACAGAUCCAAAUCUAAGUCUUCCUUGCUUGGUUAUCCACAUGAACGGAUCUCACUCGCCUAAAUUAGACUAUCUUCACACAUUAAAAAAGCAAGAUUUGAUCAUUAGUUCUGUGUGAUUAAUUUAGGCUUAGGUUAACAGUAUCAUAAAUAAUGUAACACACUCUGAAGUUCAUUUCAGAACACCAGAGCCACCACAGUUUCCACAGUUGUGAAUGGAGCAUGUGGCUUCUGAACACCUCAGAAGUGGGGCUACUCUGGUGCAAACUGCAAGCAACCUAAUUUGACAUAUAUGGCUUUACAAUCUAAUUUUUCCUGUAAGAGAAUAAUACUUUCUGCAAGAACUUAUAAUGAAUUCCAGUAUGUGCUUCAAAGCACAUAUGCCAUUUUGAAAGCAGCUCGAUCUUUUUCUGAAGAAUUUUUUAAAUGUUGGAAAACUUGUUGAGCAACCCUCUAACUAAGGUAAAAGUAUUACUGCAGUGAUUUGAAAGCAAUUUAUAAGAGUCAAUCAAGAGAUUUAAUAGAACAUUCCAAGGAAGUCACAUGAUUUCCAUUCACAUAUUUUCAUUAUCUUUACAGUAACAUACAACACAGCACUUUAUUUCCAAAGCUAUUGUCUUAUGAUAACUCUCAUGAGAGAGCCAUUACAGUGCACUGAUGGUUUUGGCCAAAGGCAGAGAUGGUUUGCUUUCUGAUACCCGUAUUUUUUUGGGGAAAAAAAAAAAGCAAAUAAAAAAAGGGAGGAAGUUCUUUAGUGCAGGGUGUCUGAUUAUUUGUUCACAGUGGUCUGUGGUCCUUCUGACUUGAGUAGCUCUGUAUUUACUUUUCCACAUGUACAACUGCAAAAUCAGAACAGGGUGGGUGCACUCUACCAAUGACAAUUCUUCAAUUCCUGCACUUAAUUAAAAAAACAAUCUAGAUCCUGGCAGCUCCUUUUAAAAAAAUGGAGAUAUACCACUUUCCCCCAGUAGCAAAAGGGUAUACAUAGCUGCAAACAGUUUCUCAGCUUCUAUAAAUGUACUCAAAAACACUGGAAAAUGAAAAUAAAAAUGCUUAGCCCAUAUUUAUAAACCAGUUAUACAUGACAAUUUAUGGAAACCCAGAAAGUGGAGUUAAUGUUCACAUACAUAUAUAAUGAAAUUUGAAGUGCAUGUAUGUUAAAUAUGUAUCAUACUGAUGGAUUCUUUAUAAAUGCGUAAGAGAGAGAUUUAUUAUUUAUGUUGCUCCAGGACUGUACUUGGUUCUUUUCAGUAAAAAGCAGGAUGAUGUGUUUCCUUCCUCAAAGGAUAUAAAACUCCACUUAAACAAAUAGAAUAGAUUCUGUACCUUUAAAUUUGAAACAGGCUAUUUUAUGGGAAUGGGAUGGUGUGCAAAAUGAAAUGUGGCCAUAAUUGUUAAGGUUUGUGACAUACUGUGUAUGGCUCAAGCUGUUAUAUCAAUUCCUAUAUGCAUUCAAUUAAAGAACCCAUCUUCAAUGAUGUAUUCUAGCACACUCCUGGGAAACAGUCCAAUGUCUUUAGCUAUCUAUUUUACAUGAAACCAAUUAUUGUAAUAUCUCUAAUGUCUAAGUGGUAUUGUCGUGAGUACCAUUUUAGCAUGGUCCAAAGUAUUUAUUUCUAUGAGAUUAUCUAUCUACCCUUCAAAUUUAUUAUGCUUUCAAGAAUAUCCACAGAGUCACAUUAGCAUAUUUGUAUCCCACAGCCAAAUGUUCAAGAGAAAUUUAAUAUGAGAUAAAUAAUCAGCUGACUAAACUCAGUGCUUUCCACUUCUGUUUACAUGAAACGACCUCUUGCUGGUGCUUGACCUCUCUCUAUCCUCAUUCUCAGUUCCCUGUGACAGCUGAUGUGCAUUAUUUGUUACAAUCCUCUGUUUUUCCCCAGUGCUGUGUGAUGCUAGCUCAGCUCUGCCGUAGACCACAAUCACUGCCUGGAAAACUCUGGGAACGAGAAUGAGAGCAAUGUUAUAGGACUUUGCAGAAAAAAGGUUCUGUCUCAUGUCACCACAAAUUAUCGUUAUUUUACAGCAGUAAUAAAAUGUACCUACAAGCACCGAGGUCUCAGUUGUGCCACUAUUUGACCAUGUGUCUGAGCCAGUGCAGUUCUCCUUUGUACAAUUCUGCCUUUCCAGAAGUACAGUGGAAAUAUAGUCCACAAGAGUGUUUAGACUUUGCGCAUUAACGUCAUGUUUGUUUGUUGUAAAACAGUGUGUCAUUUUCAUAAAUUAUUAUUAGCAGGUUUUGACCUCCUCUUUGUGUGAAAAGUACUGGUUUUGUGGAAAACUCCAAACAACUGUGAAGUAGUUAAGCAUUGUUAUCAUUGCUGUUGCCAUUGUCAUGGUCUGUUGCUGGUAGCUCUACUUUUACUAGUUGACAUUGUGUAACAGGUGCUGUAUGAGCUCUUCAGUGCCAUUACACAGCAGUCCUUUAAUGACCUCAUUUUAUAGCAAAACUUCCACAUAUGCCAAGAAGAUAGAAAACCUAUCAUCAAAAACAAGUGGAGAGCUUUGAUUUGGUGAUGCUUUGGACUCGCUUUAUAAAAGGAAAACAACCAAAAUGUAAUGGAGUGGCAAAAACACAGGGCUUGCACCUGAAGUACAGGAAUGGGAGGUACACAGUGAUUCAGUGUCAAAGUACAGUGGGGUGGCCUCUUUUUUCAUUUGAGUGAAUUUACUAUAUGUGUCAUAAGGAACUUGCCACCAAAAGUUUAAAGAAAGACUGUAUGUUAGGAUCUGUCUGGUUAAGGAGGUCCCAGGAUACUUUAAAGCUUUUCAGAUGAGACAUGUACAUGCAGCAAAGUGUGUUGUUUCAGGAGAAGAAAAUGUACUUACUGGUGUGACUGUGGGGAGGCAGUAGGAAAACUGCUUUGACAGGUGGAUGCCUGCAUGAGUAGCAUAUUAAAGGAGGACUGUAGCAAAACUGAAUAUCUGGCUGGAAGCUCAUCUUCUAAGUUGUCAUCUACUGGCUGAGACAUUGCAUGCCACAGUCUUUCUAGUGUAAAAUCUCUCAAUGUUCUUUUAUUUUCUACCCAAGAAAAUGAAAGAACAAUUGUGCCCCGUGAAUACCAACAAAUCUUCUGUCUUUUGAAUGGGUAGGACACAUAGAUUUUUUUUAAAGACCUCAGAAAUUCUGAGAUCUUAUCUGUUCUUUCUGAGUUUUCUGUUGGAAAAUCAUGCAGUUGGCCUUUCUUCCACUAGGACUGGGAGUCUAUUGAGUCUGUAAACUGGAAAUCAACGUUGAGCUGGAUCUGACUUAGUGACUCAGUAUCAAUGGGAAAUACACUGCUGCUAUAUGCUUAUCAAAAAUACCAUUACAUUAAGAGUAUUUUUAUUCUGUAUGCAAUGUGUAAUAUAAAUCAUAAAUUAUUUGACUUUCACUUCAUGCAGGAUUGUGUGCGCUACAUAGCUGAAAUGUAGCCACAUUUGCUUUCAUUUUCCUGAUUUCUGUGAGUUACAAUCUUUGCUGGCCUGCACUAGCAACUUCUUUAAUUCAGCUUUCUCAGGCUGGUGGUGAUGAUGAUUUUCAGCUAAAACAGUAGCAAACAUGCAUUGAAAUAAACAUUAUACAAUGGUAGAUUUUAACAGAAAGGAAAUGAUUAUUUAUUGAAUGUUGCUGGAGGGGCUAAAAUAGUAUAAAUAAACAGAAGAGAAGACAAAGACCAAGGGAAGUACAGUCUACAAAGCUAAUAUAAGCAUAUAUGAAACCUCUGUAAAAUUCAGAUGGAAAAUAAA